AUUGUCUUAUGUGCUCUCCUGUCCUGCUGAUGCUCUCUACCAACCACAUGAACUUGGCUGUGGAGCCUGUGCAACGCCAACUGAUGGUUGUUAAAGAUCUUGUAUGCCUGUACAGUGCCAUCGGUUGGUUAUCUUUUACCUUCAGAACACCUUGGAUUGAUCAUUAGAUGACUAAUGACCGACUGUACUGUCUAUUGUGGCCCAGAACGAGCAUUCCAAGCUGCUAAUUGCAAAUCUAUGCAUGACAGGUGUCCGUUGUCCACAUGCAGGUGAUGGACAAUUAAUGGUGACAGCCCCUCCCUUUGUCUGGUCUCCAUGAUAUCCCUACACUUGUAGUGUCAGAGGUGACCAUACUGCUGAAAGAACCUGGCUUUACCAUGGGAUUGUAGGCAAGUUUUUCCUUUUCUUUUGCCAGAAAGGGUUACUUUAACCAAAACCAGUGUUAUUAAAUCACUGUGUUUUUUUUGGUUGAAAUAGCUCUUUAAGUGAACAAGG